CUACGGGUGGCUGCAGUGGGGAAUAUUGGACAAUGGGCGAAAGCCUGAUCCAGCCAUGCCGCGUGUGUGAAGAAGGCCUUCGGGUUGUAAAGCACUUUCAGUGGGGAAGAAAGCCUUGGGGCUAAUACCCUCGAGGAAGGACAUCACCCACAGAAGAAGCACCGGCUAACUCCGUGCCAGCAGCCGCGGUAAUACGGAGGGUGCGAGCGUUAAUCGGAAUUACUGGGCGUAAAGCGCACGUAGGCGGUCUGAUAAGCCGGUUGUGAAAGCCCCGGGCUCAACCUGGGAACGGCAUCCGGAACUGUCAGGCUAGAGUGCAGGAGAGGAAGGUAGAAUUCCCGGUGUAGCGGUGAAAUGCGUAGAGAUCGGGAGGAAUACCAGUGGCGAAGGCGGCCUUCUGGACUGACACUGACGCUGAGGUGCGAAAGCGUGGGUAGCAAACAGGAUUAGAUACCCGGGUAGUC
rnacentral:rRNA from 1 species